rnacentral:rRNA from 1 species
UACAGAGGUGGCAAGCGUUGUUCGGAAUUACUGGGCGUAAAGGGCGCGUAGGCGGCCUUCUAAGUCAGACGUGAAAUCCCCCGGCUUAACCUGGGAACUGCGUCUGAUACUGGAGGGCUUGAGUAUGGGAGAGGGAUGUAGAAUUCCAGGUGUAGCGGUGAAAUGCGUAGAUAUCUGGAGGAAUACCAGUGGCGAAGGCGGUUGCCUGGAGCUUUGCUGACGCUGAGGCGCGAAAGCUAGGGGAGCAAACGGG